AUUACCCUGUUUCCAUAGAGUAUUUUUCUCAAAUAAUCAUUAAUAAUGGGUCACCGGUCAUAUACCACGUUAAUGGGCAAGAAGACCCUAUGAAUUUUAAAAUAAUUAAUUUCUUAUAAGAAAUUAAUUAUUUUUAGUUGGGGCAACUAGAAAACAUUAUAAACUUUUUAUAUAAUAAAAUGACCCAUUAUUAAUGAUUAUUUGAGAAAAAUACUCUAGGGAUAACAGCGUAAUAAUUUUUGAUAGAACCUAUAGACAAAAUAGUUUGCGACCUCGAUGUUGGAUUAGGAUACUUUUUUAAUGAAGAUGUUAAAAAAAGAAGUUUGUUCAACUUUUAAAGUCCUACUUGAUCUGAGUUCAGACCGGA
rnacentral:rRNA from 1 species